UGCUGCACCCCGUGAACAAUAUUGUUAACAAGUUGUUGAACCAUCAACAUUGUUGUAACAAUCAUGUUAACAACUUGCAACAGUACUGAUGGUUGAACAACUUGUUAACAAUAUUGUUCACGGGGUGCAGCGCAACAUUGUU
rnacentral:miRNA from 1 species